rnacentral:rRNA from 1 species
CCUACGGGGGGCAGCAGUGAGGAAUAUUGGUCAAUGGUCGUAAGACUGAACCAGCCAAGUAGCGUGCAGGAUGACGGCCCUAUGGGUUGUAAACUGCUUUUAUGCGGGGAUAAAAUGCGUCACGUGUGAUGUUUUGUAGGUACCGCAUGAAUAAGGACCGGCUAAUUCCGUGCCAGCAGCCGCGGUAAUACGGAAGGUCCGGGCGUUAUCCGGAUUUAUUGGGUUUAAAGGGUGCGUAGGCGGACUGUUAAGUCAGCGGUAAAAGCCCGGGGCUCAACCCCGGCGAGCCGUUGAAACUGGCUGUCUUGAGAUGUCGAGAGGUAUGCGGAAUGCGCAGUGUAGCGGUGAAAUGCUUAGAUAUUGCGCAGAACUCCGAUUGCGAAGGCAGCAUACCGGCGGCGAUCUGACGCUGAGGCACGAAAGCGUGGGUAUCGAACAGGAUUAGAUACCCUGGUAGUC